UACGAAGGGUGCAAGCGUUACUUGGAAUUACUGGGCGUAAAGCGUGCGUAGGCGGUUCGUUAAGUCCGUUGUGAAAGCCCUGGGCUCAACCUGGGAAUUGCAGUGGAUACUGGCGAGCUAGAGUACGGUAGAGGAUGGUGGAAUUCCCGGUGUAGCGGUGAAAUGCGUAGAUAUCAGGAAGAACACCCGUGGCGAAGGCGGCUCUCUGGGACGGUACUGACGCUGAGACGCGAAAGCGUGGGGAGCGAACAGG
rnacentral:rRNA from 1 species